rnacentral:rRNA from 1 species
GCGGUUAAAAAGCUCGUAGUCGAAUCUGUGUCCCGCACCGCCGGUUCAUCGUGUUCGCGGUGUUAACUGGCGUGCCGCGGGACGUCCUGCCGGUGGGCUUAGCUCUUGGCGGCCCAACUCAAUCCCGCCGCGGUGCUCUUCAUUGAGUGUCGAGGUGGGCCGGCACGUUUACUUUGAACAAAUUAGAGUGCUUAAAGCAGGCUAAAACUUCGCCUGAAUACUGUGUGCAUGGAAUAAUGGAAUAGGACCUCGGUUCUAUUUUGUUGGUUUUCGGAACCCCGAGGUAAUGAUUAAUAGGAACGGAUGGGGGCAUUCGUAUUGCGACGUUAGAGGUGAAAUUCUUGGAUCGUCGCAAGACGGACAGAAGCGAAAGCAUUUGCCAAAAACGCUUUCAUUGAUCAAGAACGAAAGUUAGAGGCGAAGGCGAUCAGAUACCGCCCUAGUUCUAACCAUAAACGAUGCCAGCUAGCGAUCCGCCGACGUUCCUCCGAUGACUCGGCGGGCAGCUUCCGGGAAACCAAAGCUUUUGGGUUCCGGGGGAAGUAUGGUUGCAAAGCUGAAACUUAAAGGAAUUGACGGAAGGGCACCACCAGGAGUGGAGCCUGCGGCUUAAUUUGACUCAACACGGGAAACCUCACCAGGCCCGGACACCGGAAGGAUUGACAGAUUGAGAGCUCUUUCUUGAUUCGGUGGGUGGUGGUGCAUGGCCGUUCUU